rnacentral:rRNA from 1 species
UACGUGGGGGGCAAGCGUUGUCCGGAAUUAUUGGGCGUAAAGAGCGUGUAGGCGGUCCGGUAAGUCAGCUGUGAAAGUCAAGGGCUCAACCCUUGAAAGCCGGUUGAUACUGUCGGGCUAGAGUCCGGAAGAGGCGAGUGGAAUUCCCGGUGUAGCGGUGAAAUGCGCAGAUAUCGGGAGGAACACCAAUGGCGAAGGCAGCUCGCUGGGACGGUACUGACGCUGAGGCGCGAAAGCCAGGGGAGCGAACGGG